AUGACUAAUUAUCGAAAUGCAUUUUGUGAUCCUUUAUUUGUACGACUUAUGGAAAGGUCGAAACUCAAUCACUUGAAAAAUCAAUUGCGCCAAGUCACAGGUAUUAGUAGAAAUGUUAUCGAUAUAUCUUUCAACUGCACUAUUAUCAAUGAAAAUGGGGGGUUGAUGCAUGACAUUAUAAAGUUAGAUACAAAUGCAGAUGUAUUUAAAAUGUUUGAAGAUUUUCGUAUUGGUGUUAAUAAGAUACCAUUUAAGAUGUAUGUUAGAUUUAGUAGAUUAGUCGAUGAAGUCUUACCAUUGUGUAAGAAACCCUGUUAUAUACAAUAUUCGCAAUAA